rnacentral:rRNA from 1 species
ACUCCUACGGGAGGCAGCAGUGGGGAAUAUUGCACAAUGGGCGCAAGCCUGAUGCAGCCAUGCCGCGUGUAUGAAGAAGGCCUUCGGUUGUAAAGUACUUUCAGCAGUGAGGAAGGUGGGUAUGUUAAUAGCAUACUCAUUUGACGUUAGCUGCAGAAGAAGCACCGGCUAACUCCGUGCCAGCAGCCGCGGUAAUACGGAGGGUGCGAGCGUUAAUCGGAAUUACUGGGCGUAAAGCGCAUGCAGGUGGUUUGUUAAGUCAGAUGUGAAAGCCCGGGGCUCAACCUCGGAAUUGCAUUUGAAACUGGCAAACUAGAGUACUGUAGAGGGGGUAGAAUUUCAGGUGUAGCGGUGAAAUGCGUAGAGAUCUGAAGGAAUACCGGUGGCGAAGGCGGCCCCCUGGACAGAUACUGACACUCAGAUGCGAAAGCUGGGGAGCAAACAGGAUUAGAU